rnacentral:rRNA from 1 species
GACACUGGCCAGACUCCUACGGGAGGCUGCAGUCGAGGAUCUUCGGCAAUGGGCGCAAGCCUGACCGAGCGACGCCGCGUGCGCGAUGAAGGCCUUCGGGUUGUAAAGCGCUGUCGAGGGGGAGGAAGCCGCAAGGUUGACCUAUCCCUGGAGGAAGGACGGGCUAAGUUCGUGCCAGCAGCCGCGGUAAGACGAACCGUCCUAACGUUGUUCGGAAUCACUGGGCUUAAAGGGCGCGUAGGCGGGCGAUCAAGUCCGGGGUGAAAUCUUUCGGCUUAACCGGAAAACAGCCUUGGAUACUGAUUGUCUCGAGGGAGGUAGGGGCCUGUGGAACUUCCGGUGGAGCGGUGAAAUGCGUUGAUAUCGGAAGGAACGCCGGUGGCGAAAGCGACGGGCUGGACCUUUUCUGACGCUGAGGCGCGAAAGCUAGGGGAGCAAACGGGAUUAGAUACCCCGGUAGUCCUAGCCCUAA